rnacentral:rRNA from 1 species
AUUGAACGCUGGCGGAAUGCUUUACACAUGCAAGUCGAACGGCAGCACGGACUUCGGUCUGGUGGCGAGUGGCGAACGGGUGAGUAAUGUAUCGGAACGUGCCCAGUCGUGGGGGAUAACGUAGUGAAAAUUACGCUAAUACCGCAUACGAUCUAUGGAUGAAAGCGGGGGAUCGCAAGACCUCGCGCGAUUGGAGCGGCCGAUACCAGAUUAGGUAGUUGGUGGGGUAAAGGACCACCAAGCCAACGAUCUGUAGCUGGUCUGAGAGGACGACAAGCCACACUGGAACUGCGACACGGUCCAGACUCCUACGGGAGGCAGCAGUGGGGAAUUUUGGACAAUAGGCGAAAGCCUGAUCCAGCCAUUCCGCGUGCAGGAUGAAGGCCCUCGGGUUGUAAACUGCUUUUGUACAGAACGAAAAGGUUUCUACUAAUACUAGGAGCUCAUGACGGUACUGUAAGAAUAAGCACCGGCUAACUACGUGCCAGCCGCCGCCGUAA